GUGCACUACCUAUACGUUGCCUCGGCGGAUCAGCCCGCGCCCUGUAAAAAGGGACGGCCCGCCCGAGGACCCUAAACUCUGUUUUUAGUGGAACUUCUGAGUAAAACAAACAAAUAAAUCAAAACUUUCAACAACGGAUCUCUUGGUUCUGGCAUCGAUGAAGAACGCAGCAAAAUGCGAUAAGUAAUGUGAAUUGCAGAAUUCAGUGAAUCAUCGAAUCUUUGAACGCACAUUGCGCCCGCCAGUAUUCUGGCGGGCAUGCCUGUUCGAGCGUCAUUUCAACCCUCAAGCCCAGCUUGGUGUUGGGACUCGCGGUAACCCGCGUUCCCCAAAUCGAUUGGCGGUCACGUCGAGCUUCCAUAGCGUAGUAAUCAUACACCUCGUUACUGGUAAUCGUCGCGGCCACGCCGUAAAACCCCAACUUCUGAAUGUUGACCUCGGAUCACGUAGGAAUACCCGCUGAACUUAAGCAUAUCAAU
rnacentral:rRNA from 1 species